rnacentral:rRNA from 1 species
CGGGGCUUAAAGUCUUGUAAUUGGAAUGAUGGGAAUUUAAACCUCUUCCAGAGUAUCAAUUGGAGGGCAAGUCUGGUGCCAGCAGCCGCGGUAAUUCCAGCUCCAAUAGCGUAUAUUAAAAUUGUUGCAGUUGAAAAGCUCGUAGUUGAAUUUCUGCUGCAUUGCUUGUGUCCCUCUGGGGUCUGUGCAUGUGGCUUUUUUCGGACGGAGUUUCUUUGUCUGAAUGUUUACUUUGAGAAAAUUAGAGUGCUCAAAGCAGGCUUUCGCCUUGAAUAGUUUAGCAUGGAAUAAUAAAGUAGGACUUUGGUUCUAUUUUGUUGGUUUUAGGUACCAAAGUAAUGGUUAAUAGGAACAGUUGGGGGCAUUCGUAUUUAACUGUCAGAGGUGAAAUUCUUAGAUUUGUUAAAGACGAACUACUGCGAAAGCAUUUGCCAAGGAUGUUUUCAUUAAUCAAGAAC